CAGCAUGUUUCCAAGGUCUAUAGCUGAUUGUGACCAAGGAAUCUAAAACGUCAUGUGAGAGCAACGUGGAGGGACUUCAACAGCUCAGGUCAGCAUAAUACCUGCAGUUGCCACUCAGCUUGCCUAUGCCU
rnacentral:snoRNA from 1 species